CUGUUUCCGUGAUAGCAAUAAGAUCGUAGUUUUCCAAUUGCAUCAUGGUUUCCAAUUCCUCCUGCUUGCUUCCUAUGCUGUGUGCAUUGGUACAGAGGCACUUCAGCUGAAAAUGCCAAAAGUCACAUCAUUGUCUGCCUUGGACCCUUUAUAGAUACAUAUAUAAAACCAGAUAAAUAUGAAUAUUUGGAGCUAAAUGCGUGUGCUGCAAGAUCAUGUUAUUGAUGAGAAAAAAGUCUGAAGGCACAGUGAUUCCUAGCUCAUGGCCAGCAGACCAUUGCUGUUGUUUUGGGGAAGAAAAUGGGAAAAGCAGAGCCAGCCAAGGAGCAGACAGCCUACACAGAGAUGGAUUUCGCUCCUGGCCCUUUCUCAGGCAAGGCGAGAGCUUUUCCUGAGUGCAACCCACAAGACUGGAUCCACAGCUCUUCGGCCUGCAGCACUUCAAGACUUCCAGGUUGGAGACAAUACGUCUGGAAAUCUGGGGUGAGCUGCACCUCCUGUGUGUUUUACUUGGACAGCAGGGUAGCAAUGCGAAUGCCAAGAGGAAUGGUUCCCACCAGCCUCAGAGCGCUGACACACUCACUCAGCAAGCACCUGCCCUGGCCUCAGGUACCUUCCAGCCUCCCACGGGUUUGUUACUGCAAGGGGUGUGCUCACCUGUCUGCUCACCUACCGUCAUCUGAGGUUUAAACUAGAGCACCUGACCCACUAUUUCAGAUGACAGCGCGAUGACUCAGAGACAUCUUAGCAUGAUGGAAGGAGCUCCUGCCCCAGCACCUGCCUGCCACACUGCUGGGACACACACACCCUUUGUAUCACACUGCUGCUGCAGGGCAGCUGGACCUGUGUGGGGUACUUCUGCCACUAGGCUUUCGCCAGUGCCUCUGCAUGUAUUAUCUCAUCCCCCGUAGAGUUACCCACACUGUGACCAACAGACCCAAGCAUCCUCUAAAUUGUUCUUCUGGGGCAAAAGGAGUAAGGAUAUCCACAUGGCUUGGUGCAAAGGAGCAUGUAGAUAGGGAGACAUGAGCCCCACACGUCCUGCAGCUUCUUGAGGUUUUGCUUGCUCUUUCUAUCUGGCAGGCACAUCAGACUGGCUUUUGAUCACCAGAGAUCAAGAGUAUUUCCACCCAUACAAGGUAAGUCUGUUGGUUGCACGGACAGCUUAGAGGAAAUGGAGCUCCUGAGAAGACCUGAUUUUGGGUGCAUCAGUACGAGCAUUUCAAGUGUUAGAGGAGUGUCUGGAUUUU
rnacentral:lncRNA from 1 species